rnacentral:rRNA from 1 species
GCCAGACUCCUACGGGAGGCAGCAGUGGGGGAUAUUGCACAAUGGGGGGAACCCUGAUGCAGCGACGCCGCGUGGGUGAAGGAGCGUUUCGGCGCGUAAAGCCCUAUCGGCAGGGAAGAAGGAGGACGGUACCUGACUAAGAAGCCCCGGCUAACUACGUGCCAGCAGCCGCGGUAAUACGUAGGGGGCAAGCGUUAUCCGGAUUUACUGGGUGUAAAGGGGGCGCAGACGGCAGCGCAAGCCUGGAGUGAAAGCCCGGGGCCCAACCCCGGGACUGCUCUUGGACCUGCGCGGCUGGAGUGCAGGAGGGGCAGGCGGAAUUCCUGGUGUAGCGGUGAAAUGCGUAGAUAUCAGGAGGAACACCGGUGGCGAAGGCGGCCUGCUGGACUGCGACUGACGUUGAGGCCCGAAAGCGUGGGGAGCAAACAGGAUUAGAUACCCGUGUAGG